rnacentral:rRNA from 1 species
CAGCAGCCGCGGGAAUACAGAGGGUGCGAGCGUUAAUCGGAUUUACUGGGCGUAAAGCGUGUGUAGGUUGUUGUUCAAGUCAGUUGUGAAAUCCCUGGGCUCAACCUGGGAACUGCUUCUGAGACUGAACGACUAGAGUACGGUAGAGGGUGGUGGAAUUUCCGGUGUAGCGGUGAAAUGCGUAGAUAUCGGAAGGAACAUCAAUGGCGAAGGCAGCCACCUGGGCCUGUACUGACACUGAGACACGAAAGCGUGGGGAUCAAACAGGAUUAGAUACCCCAGUAGUCCCUGUCUCUUAUAC